rnacentral:rRNA from 1 species
AGAGUUUGAUCCUGGCUCAGGACGAACGCUGGCGGCGUGCCUAACACAUGCAAGUCGAACGGAGAUAAUCUUUCGGGAAAAUCUUAGUGGCGAACGGGUGAGUAACGCGUGAGCAACCUGACCUUCAGAGGGGGAUAACCGCUGGAAACAGCAGCUAAUACCGCAUAAGACCACGACCCGGCAUCGGGAUGAGGUCAAAGGAGCAAUCCGCUGAAGGAGGGGCUCGCGUCCCAUUAGAUAGUUGGCGGGGCAACGGCCCACCAAGUCGACGAUGGGUAGCCGAGCUGAGAGGCUGAUCGGCCACACUGGAACUGAGACACGGUCCAGACUCCUACGGGAGGCAGCAGUGGGGAAUAUUGGGCAAUGGGGGGAACCCUGACCCAGCCAUGCCGCGUGAGGGAAUGAGGCCCUACGGGUCGUGAACCUCUUUUGCCUGGGGAUAAACCGCCCCGCUGGACGGGGCGCUGCAGGUACCAGGCGAAUAAGCAUCGGCUAACUCCGUGCCAGCAGCCGCGGUAAUACGGAGGAUGCGAGCGUUAUCCGGAUUCAUUGGGUUUAAAGGGUGCGCAGGCGGCGCGUUAAGUCAGCGGUGAAAGGCAGGGGCCCAACCCCGGCAGUGCCGUUGAUACUGGCGCGCUGGAAUGCGGUCGAGGCGGGCGGAAUGUGGCGUGUAGCGGUGAAAUGCAUAGAUAUGCCACAGAACUCCGAUAGCGAAGGCAGCUCGCCAGGCCUGCAUUGACGCUCAGGCACGAAAGCGUGGGGAUCGAACAGGAUUAGAUACCCUGGUAGUCCACGCCGUAAACGAUGGACGCUCGUCGUCGGCGGCACACGGCCGGCGGGCAAGCGAAAG